AACGUCUACGGACCAAAGGGGGCUUCGGCUCUCGCCUUUAGAUUGGCCCAAGUGGGAUUAGCUAGUUGGUGAGGUAAUGGCUCACCAAGGCGACGAUCCCUAGCUGGUUUGAGAGGAUGAUCAGCCACACUGGGACUGAGACACGGUCCAGACUCCUACGGGAGGCAGCAGUGGGGAAUAUUGCACAAUGGGCGCAAGCCUGAUGCAGCCAUGCCGCGUGUGUGAAGAAGGCCUUCGGGUUGUAAAGCACUUUCAGUAAGGAGGAAAGGUUAGUAGUUAAUACCUGCUAGCUGUGACGUUACUUACAGAAGAAGCACCGGCUAACUCCGUGCCAGCAGCCGCGGUAAUACGGAGGGUGCGAGCGUUAAUCGGAAUUACUGGGCGUAAAGCGUACGCAGGCGGUUUGUUAAGCGAGAUGUGAAAGCCCCGGGCUUAACCUGGGAACUGCAUUUCGAACUGGCAAACUAGAGUGUGAUAGAGGGUGGUAGAAUUUCAGGUGUAGCGGUGAAAUGCGUAGAGAUCUGAAGGAAUACCGAUGGCGAAGGCAGCCACCUGGGUCA
rnacentral:rRNA from 1 species